UUGUGAAAUCAGAGUAUCUAAAAGGUUGGAGCUCUGGGGAAAAAGUGUAGUUGGAGUGUUAGCAGUGGUCCUAGGGUAUCUGUGUUACUCCUCAAUGCAAAUGUGACAUGCUAGCAAAGAAUAACUGAGCAGACACUGGCAUUACUGGGAAGUGUGCAGACAUCAGUGGUCCAUGGAGUUCGGUUCAGUUGUGAUACUAAACUGACCCAUAGCAAUUUGCAGAGAAUUUCAGGAUUGGUGGCUGAGGAAGCGAGGAAAGGCAGGCAGCUGUCUCUGAAAUAAUGUGACUUGGAUUGCUGUGAAUCUCUGUCUCUUCUUGCACUGCUGUUCUAUAUCUGUGUAUAUCACUAUGUAAACUAGUGAAAUUACAGUGAUAGAAGAGAAAGCAAAAAAAAAAACACCACCCCCAAACUUCUGUUGUAGUAAUUCAGAGAAAAUAAAUGACAUAGUAAGAAAGCCUUAUUGUGACUUAAAAAUAACAUUUUCCUGUUAUAAAACUCCAAUAUUAACUAUGUAGUAGGCAUGAGAAGGGAAAAAAGGCCUGAUAGAAAAUCAGAAAAGUGCCUGAAAAUCAGGGUCACUUUAGAGGCUUUCAUGAUUUGCUGUAAUGUGACAUAAACCAUCUAUUGUGUUUUUGCUGGCAAAUUUGUAGCGGAGGUCAAUGUAGCAGAAAAUAAAAGUUGAGAAAACAUA